rnacentral:lncRNA from 1 species
GAAAAGAUUGAAGGUUUCGUCGGAGUUGACUCUUGAGAAUACCUGGGACAUUAAGCAUGAGCUUAUUCACAUAAAUUUUGGCCCUGGUUUCUAGGAGGAAGCGGAGGACAAGAAAACGGAGAGAAGGAAGGAGGAAGAGAGAAAGAAGAGAAGAAGAGAAGGAGUAGAGCCUGGAAGAGGAAGGGGUAACCAGACAAUUCCCCUCCGUUUUGACAUAGCAGGCGGACUCCAACUUUUUUAUAUAAAAUAUUCAAAAGUGAACCCCUAGAUGUAUAUAUGGUUUGCAGUCCUGCUCAGGUCUUCUACGCAACCUCUUUAAGGAUCUGAUAAUUCUAAUCAAGAAAUACAUUAGCCUAGGCUCAGAUGACGAGAUUCCCGCUUCCUGAGCUGGUCUGCCUGCACUUAUCCUACAGAAAAAUCCAGUGUGAGCUACCUGAGCUGAAAAUUUCCCACUACAAGACUAUUACGGUGAAAAGAGACUAAUAUAAAUAGAAGGCAUUGCUUUAAGCCCUACACUUCAUUGGUUUGAUGAAGUUUGAGGAAAACAGGAAUAAAUCAAAUGUGUUGAGGAUCAGUAUUUCACAUUUAUAAAGUAUAAAGCUUAUUAAUGGUUUUUAAAUUUUAUUUUAUUAUUCUUUUUGAGGAAAAUUAGCCCUGAGCUAACAUCCGUGCCCAUUUUCCUCUCCUUUAUAUGUGGGAUGCCUACCACAGCAUGGCUUGCCAAGUGGUGCCAUAUCUGCACCCGGGAUCCAAAGUGGAACGUGCGCACUUAACCGCUGCGCCACCGGGCCGGCCCCUAUUAAUAGUUUUGAAGAGAAAAGAUUCUAUAUGACUACAAAACCAGCGUUAUCAUUGGUAACAUAUUCAAAUAUCUUUCCAACAUUUUUCUGAUUCAGACUCCUAAAUUUCGUAUUAAAAUGUGAUAAGAUAUUCACUAAAAAGACUUUGUAAACAGGCAAAGCUUGAAAAAC